UACAGAGACUGCAAGCGUUAUUCGGAUUCACUGGGCGUAAAGGGUGCGCAGGCGGCCAAGUGUGUGAGGCGUGAAAGCCCGGGGCUUAACCCCGGAAUUGCACCUCAAACUACAUGGCUAGAGCAUUGGAGAGGGUAGCAGAAUUCAUGGUGUAGCAGUGAAAUGCGCAGAUAUCAGGAGGAACACCAACGGCGAAGGCAGCUCUCUGGGACGUUACUGACGCUGAGACGCGAAAGCGUGGGGAGCAAACAGG
rnacentral:rRNA from 1 species